GUGGAGGCGAAGGCGGAGGCGCGGGAGUUAUUGGUGGGGGUGGGUUCUGCAGGGAAGUGCGUCAGAGGAGGCGCGGGGAGAGUAGGGUGCUGUGGUCUCCGUUGAAGGGUGAAGCUGGCGGAGCAAGAGGAUGGGCGAGCAGUCUGAAUGCCAGAAUGGAUAACCGUUUUGCUACAGCGUUUGUAAUUGCUUGUGUGCUUAGCCUCAUUUCCACCAUCUACAUGGCAGCCUCAAUUGGCACAGACUUUUGGUAUGAAU
rnacentral:lncRNA from 1 species